GAUGAACGCUGGCGGCGUGCCUAAUACAUGCAAGUCGAGCGAACGGACGAGAAGCUUGCUUCUCUGAUGUUAGCGGCGGACGGGUGAGUAACACGUGGAUAACCUACCUAUAAGACUGGGAUAACUUCGGGAAACCGGAGCUAAUACCGGAUAAUAUUUUGAACCGCAUGGUUCAAAAGUGAAAGACGGUCUUGCUGUCACUUAUAGAUGGAUCCGCGCUGCAUUAGCUAGUUGGUAAGGUAACGGCUUACCAAGGCAACGAUGCAUAGCCGACCUGAGAGGGUGAUCGGCCACACUGGAACUGAGACACGGUCCAGACUCCUACGGGAGGCAGCAGUAGGGAAUCUUCCGCAAUGGGCGAAAGCCUGACGGAGCAACGCCGCGUGAGUGAUGAAGGUCUUCGAAUCGUAAAACUCUGUUAUGAGGGAAGAACAUAUGUGUAAGUAACUGUGCACAUCUUGACGGUACCUAAUCAGAAAGCCACGGCUAACUACGUG
rnacentral:rRNA from 1 species